ACGGGUGAGUAAAGCUUAGGAAUCUGCCAUUUAGUGGGGGACAACAUUCCGAAAGGAAUGCUAAUACCGCAUACGUCCUACGGGAGAAAGCAGGGGAUCGUAAGACCUUGCGCUAAAUGAUGAGCCUAAGUCGGAUUAGCUAGUUGGUGGGGUAAAGGCCUACCAAGGCGACGAUCUGUAGCGGGUCUGAGAGGAUGAUCCGCCACACUGGGACUGAGACACGGCCCAGACUCCUACGGGAGGCAGCAGUGGGGAAUAUUGGACAAUGGGGGGAACCCUGAUCCAGCCAUGCCGCGUGUGUGAAGAAGGCCUUAUGGUUGUAAAGCACUUUAAGCGAGGAGGAGGCUUACCUAGUUAAUACCUAGGCUAAGUGGACGUUACUCGCAGAAUAAGCACCGGCUAACUCUGUGCCAGCAGCCGCGGUAAUACAGAGGGUGCGAGCGUUAAUCGGAUUUACUGGGCGUAAAGCGUGCGUAGGCGGCCAUUUAAGUCAAAUGCGAAAUCCCCGAGCUUAACUUGGGAAUUGCAUUCGAUACUGGAUGGCUAGAGUAUGGAAGAGGAUGGUAGAAUUCCAGGCGUAGCGGUGAAAUGCGUAGAGAUCUGGAGGAAUACCGAUGGCGAAGGCAGCCAUCUGGCCUAAUACUGACGCUGAGGUACGAAAGCAUGGGGAGCAAACAGGAUUAGAUACCUGGUAGUCCAU
rnacentral:rRNA from 1 species